UACGUAGGGUGCGAGCGUUGUCCGGAAUUAUUGGGCGUAAAGGGCUCGUAGGCGGUCUGUCGCGUCGAAAGUGAAAACUCAGGGCUUAACCCUGAGCCUGCUUCCGAUACGGGCAGACUAGAGGUAUGCAGGGGAGAACGGAAUUCCUGGUGUAGCGGUGAAAUGCGCAGAUAUCAGGAGGAACACCGGUGGCGAAGGCGGUUCUCUGGGCAUUACCUGACGCUGAGACGCGAAAGCGUGGGGAGCGAACAGG
rnacentral:rRNA from 1 species